rnacentral:lncRNA from 11 species
CUCAAUAUCUUAGCAUCCUCAGUGCAAGGAUCUAAAAAAGAUCAGAAAGACUUGAUACUGCUAUGCUUAUAUGAAAAGGAUUGUACUCUUAGCACACACACAACUGAAGGUUUCCUGGUAAUUCUUAAAGCAUCUGCUCGAUUCGUCUCAAAUAGCAUCAC